AAACAUUGGGUUGUUUUGGUUGCU
rnacentral:siRNA from 1 species